UACGGAGGUGCGAGCGUUAUCCGGAUUUCACUGGGUUUUUAAAGGGUGCGUAGGCGGGUUGGUAAGUCAGUGGUGAAAUCUUCAAGCUUUAACUUGGAACUGCCGUUUGAUACUAUCAAUCUUUGAAUAUUUGUGGAGGUAAGCGGAAUAUGUCAUGUAGCGGUGAAAUGCUUAGAUAUGACAUAGAACACCGAUAGCGAAGGCAGCUUGCUACACAAUAAUUUGACGCUGAGGCACGAAAAGCGUGGGGAUCAAACAGG
rnacentral:rRNA from 1 species